rnacentral:lncRNA from 1 species
AACAAUAGUAGUAAAUGUUUAAAACUCACAGCCCUUGAUACUCGAGGGUCAGAUACUUGCUUUUUGGGUUGGGGGUUGGUAUUCGGAUCAAGGAGUGAUGGCAUGUCCUCUAUACUGUAUAACGUUUAACAACAUCCUGACCAGUACCGUCUGCUUAAUACUACUAGUUCAUUCAGUGAUAAGCAAAGUGUCCUCAGACAUUGUCUAGCAUCCCAUGGUCACAAAACCCAUCCCAGCUAGGAAGAAUACGGUCAAUAAGUAACAGCUAUGAGGUACUACGGUGUCAUGACAGUAGAAAUUGUACCUGAAAUCCUAAUUCAAUGUUCCUGGAAAAGCUCAGACAAAUGAAAAGCUAUGUCAGGGAAAGUCUACCAGCCAUUGGUGCUAUAAAUCAGACACUGGGAGAAUUAUAAGCACCCCCAAGGAAGAAGAAGCAAACUGCUUCGUUCUUGCUUUGUUUCUCCAGUGCUGACAACAUGCCGUUUGCUAAUGAGCAAGGGAGAAUUGUAUGAAAUGUGAGACAUAUUUUCAAAGGCAGCCAAAGGCUGCAAAACUCUGAGCGUGAGGAUGCAGACCUCCAAUCCCCAUACUUGAGUGUCUGAGGCCUGAGAAUCGUCAUGAGGGCAAAGCCAGUCUGCCUUACCACAACAAGACUCUACUUACAGAAACAAUGCAAAC